CCUACGGGGGGCAGCAGUGAGGAAUAUUGGUCAAUGGGCGGGAGCCUGAACCAGCCAAGUCGCGUGAGGGAAGACGGUCCUACGGAUUGUAAACCUCUUUUGCCGGGGAGCAACGGGGUCCUUGCGAGGGCCCAAUGAGAGUACCCGGAGAAAAAGCAUCGGCUAACUCCGUGCCAGCAGCCGCGGUAAUACGGAGGAUGCGAGCGUUAUCCGGAUUUAUUGGGUUUAAAGGGUGCGUAGGCGGGCUGUUAAGUCAGCGGUCAAAUGUCGGGGCUCAACCCCGGCCUGCCGUUGAAACUGCAUCCCUUGAGUGCGCGAGAAGUAUGCGGAAUGCGUGGUGUAGCGGUGAAAUGCAUAGAUAUCACGCAGAACUCCGAUUGCGAAGGCAGCAUACCGGCGCGCAACUGACGCUCAUGCACGAAAGCGUGGGUAUCGAACAGGAUUAGAUACCCUAGUAGUC
rnacentral:rRNA from 1 species